rnacentral:rRNA from 1 species
GACGAACGCUGGCGGCGUGCUUAACACAUGCAAGUCGAGCGGUAAGGCUCCUUCGGGAGUCCACGAGCGGCAAACGGGUGAGUAACACGUGAGUAAUCUGCCCUUCACUUCGGGAUAACCACCGGAAACGGUGGCUAAUACCGAAUACGACCAGUCUUCGCAUGAGGUGCUGGUGGAAAGUCUUUUCGGUGAAGGAUGUGCUCGCGGCCUAUCAGCUUGUUGGUGGGGUAAUGGCCUACCAAGGCUUCGACGGGUAGCCGGCCUGAGAGGGUGACCGGCCACACUGGGACUGAGACACGGCCCAGACUCCUACGGGAGGCAGCAGUGGGGAAUAUUGGACAAUGGGCGAAAGCCUGAUCCAGCAACGCCGCGUGAGGGAUGACGGCCUUCGGGUUGUAAACCUCGUUCAGUACCGACGAAGCGCCCUGUCGGGUGGUGACGGUAGGUACAGAAGAAGGACCGGCCAACUACGUG